AGGACGAAAGCGUGGGGAGCGAAGCGGAUUAGAUACCCGCGUAGUCCACGCCCUAAACGAUGAGUGUUUGUUUUUGGAGAGAGUCAGUCCUCUUCAGAGACGAAGCUAACGCGUUAAACACUCCGCCUGUAGAGUACGGCCGCAAGGCUAAAACAUAAAGGAAUUGACGGGAACCCGCACAAGCGGUGGAUCAUGUGGCUUAAUUCGAUAGUGAGCGACGAACCUCACCUAGGCUUGACAUGUAGCUGCUAAUCCUGCGAAAGCAGGACUCCUUCGAGGGUGCUACACAGGUGAUGCACGGCCGUCGUCAGCUCGUGUCGUGAGAUGUUCGGUUAAGUCCGGUAACGAGCGCAACCCUAAUCCUUAGUUAUUUAAUGUCUAAGGAGACUGCCCAAGUUUAAUUGGGAGGAAGGAUAGGAUGACGUCAGGUCAGCGUGUCCCUUAUGCCUAGGGCGGCACACAUGAUACAAUGGGUAGAGUACAACGGGAUUGCCAAGUCGCGAGACGGAGCAAAUCCUUCAAAGCUCCCCUCAGUACGGAUCGAAGUCUGCAACCCGACUUCGUGAAGCUGGAAUCGCUAGUAAUCGCCGAUCAGCCACGCGGCGGUGAAUACGUUCUCGGGUUUUGUACACACUGCCCGUCACGGCCUGGGAAUUGAGAGAGCCCCAAAACUCUGGCA
rnacentral:rRNA from 1 species